AAUCGCGCAUCUGCGACAGGUUCCCCGGAGACGGGGGUGAAAAGGGAACGGAUCAACUCCGGCUGCCCCUGCAACUGUAAGCGGCGAGCUGAAGGCCACAUGCCAUUGGGAUGUCUCAUCCUGAGAAGGCGGUUUUCCGGCAUAGACCCGCAAGCCAGGAGACCUGCCCGUCGCGGUCGUCCUUC
rnacentral:ncRNA from 1 species